rnacentral:rRNA from 1 species
UACAGAGACUGCAAGCGUUAUUCGGAUUCACUGGGCGUAAAGGGUGCGCAGGCGGCCAAGUGUGUGAGGCGUGAAAGCCCGGGGCUUAACCCCGGAAUUGCACCUCAAACUACAUGGCUAGAGCAUUGGGAGAGGGUAGCGGAAUUCACGGUGUAGCAGUGAAAUGCGUAGAUAUCGGGAGGAACACCUGUGGCGAAGGCG